UGGGGAGAAGGCUCUUCCUGUAGAGAUAUUUUCAGAAGACUAUUUGUCUUUUCCAGGCCACGUCAUAAGUGCUUAAGACAACAGCAGCUUGUGGAAUCAAAACAGCUCCCAAAGUUCAGGUUGUGAUUUUGCCUGCAUCCUUCUAACUGGCCACAGCUCUUCCCUUAGUUCUGUGAGUACAAGUCCAUGUUAUUUGAACUUCUACAUAUAUUGAUAAUGAACUUCAGGACAGUGGACUAAAUCUGGCUCUUAACAUCGUACUGACUGAUCAAAAUAACAAUAGGAAGCUACAGUUACAGAAACACCACAUAUACUUUACUGGUAAUAACGUAAAGGGACUUGCUGGAACUUAAUGGAAGUGUUUUUAGCGGAAAUAGAAAGACUCAGAAGAAGAGAGAGUAAAGUAGAUGGACAGGAAGACAGGAUGAGAGCAAGCGUGAGAGAGAGAAAAAAAAAGAGAAUGUGAGGACAAGAGAAAGAGCACUGGGCAAGAGAAUGCGAAGGGAAAGCCACUGUUGAUACCUAUCAUCUCAACACAGCUGAUUCAAGACACCUGUCUCAUUAGGUGAGAACUUACAUAGUUUUAGUAAGAAACUAUUUUCUUACUGUUUUUCCAAACAGAAUGUAAACUCAGGAUUAGAGAUCUUUCUUCUGCUUCUUCUCUGUUCUCAGUGUCUUCUGAUACAGCUCUGGGAAAACAAGAAGAUGGUUAUCAGAGGCCAGAUGCAUACUGUACACUGACUCAGUGCUAGAUUUCAGUCUAAGCACUUUCUGUGAGUGCCUAAUUUAAUCCUCCUAACAACCCUCGGAGGUU
rnacentral:lncRNA from 1 species